UUGCAGCUCCCCCAUUCCCAACCCAUCCCAGCUAACCUUCCCAGGUCCUGGCAGCUCACAGGUCCUUGAAGGUCAUAGACCCAUGUACUCAAUAGGGUUGGGUUGGGAAGGUCCUGGCAGCUCACAGACCCAUAGACUCAAUAGGGUUGGGUUGGGAAGGUCCUGGCAGCUUAUAGUGACCCAUAGACUCUAUAGGGUUGGGUUGGGUUGGGAAGGUCCUGGCAGUUCACAGACCUAUUGACUCUAUCGGGUUGGGUUGGAAAGGUCCUGGCAGCUCACAGUAAGGUCCUUUCAGUUUCUGGGGAUAUAGUUUCAAUAGAGUUGGGUUGGAAAGGUCCUGGCAGCUCAUAGUGACCCAUAGACUCAAUAGGGUUGGAAAGGUCCUGGCAGCUCACAGGUCCUUGCAGGUCAUAGACCUGCAGCCCCUAUUGGGUUGUGUUGGGAAGGUCCUGGCAGCUCAUAGACCCAUAGACUCUAUAGGGUUGGGUUGGGAAGGUCCUGGCAGCUCACAGACCCAUAGACUCAAUAGGGUUGGGUUGGAAAGGUCCUGGCAGCUCACAGACGGGUCCUUGCAGCUCAUAGACCUAUAGACUCAAUAGGGUUGGGUUGGAUUGGGUUGGGUUGGGAAGGUCCUGGCAGCUCACAAUGAGGUCCUGGCAGCUCAUAGACCCAUAGACUCAAUAGGGUUGGGUU